ACGAACGCUGGCGGCGUGCUUCACACAUGCCAGUCGCACGCUGAAGCUUGGUGCUUGCACUGGGUGGAUGAGUGGCGAACGGGUGAGUAAUACGUGAGUAACCUGCCCUUGACUCUGGGAUAAGCCUGGGAAACUGGGUCUAAUACUGGAUACGACAUGUCACCGCAUGGUGGUGUGUGGAAAGGGUUUUACUGGUUUUGGAUGGGCUCACGGCCUAUCAGCUUGUUGGUGGGGUAAUGGCUCACCAAGGCGACGACGGGUAGCCGGCCUGAGAGGGUGACCGGCCACACUGGGACUGAGACACGGCCCAGACUCCUACGGGAGGCAGCAGUGGGGAAUAUUGCACAAUGGGCGGAAGCCUGAUGCAGCGACGCCGCGUGAGGGAUGACGGCCUUCGGGUUGUAAACCUCUUUCAGCACGGAAGAAGCGAAAGUGACGGUACGUGCAGAAGAAGCGCCGGCUAACUACGUG
rnacentral:rRNA from 1 species